rnacentral:rRNA from 1 species
AUUGAACGCUGGCGGCAUGCUUUACACAUGCAAGUCGAACGGUAACAGGCCUUCGGGUGCUGACGAGUGUCGAACGGGUGUGUAAUGCAUCGGAACGUGCCCCGCGGUGGGGGAUAACGCAGCGAAAGCUGUGCUAAUACCGCAUGUGAUCUGAGGUUGAAAGCGGGGGACCAGGCAGCAAUGUUUGGCCUCGCGCCUUUGCACCGGCCGAUGUCAGAUUAGUUAGUUGGUGGGGUAAAGGCCUACCAAGCCGGCGAUCUGUAGCUGGUCUGAGAGGACGAAGAGGGACACUGGGACUGAGAGACGGCACAGACACCGAGGGGAGGCAGAAGUGGGGAAUGGUGGAAGAUGGGGGCAAGCCUGAUCAAGCAAUGCAGCGUGGGGGAAGAAGGCCUUCGGGUGGGAAACCGCUUUUGUACGGAACGAAAAGGCUCUGGCUAAUACCUGGGGCUGAUGACGGUACCGUAAGAAGAAGCACCGGCUAACUACGUG